UCUUAAUCAAGACUUGUCUUGCUCUAAAUGGAUGAUAGUUCUUGAGAACUAAUUUUAUUAAUUCAACGAGACAAGUUCUAACCUGGCACCAAUGAAUGACUUCCAAGAUUUCUGGGAAUAUAACUCCGUUUGCAUCAUUAAUCUAGGUUAGUCUGGGCACCAUAUUGAGACCUUUUCAAAAUCUCAUUUGGGGAGGACAUCAAAGUAUAAUACAGUGGAUACCAGGCAUCAAGAAGACCUAGUUAAAGUCCUGCCUAUAAAAUAGUCCUGUUUAGGACUGGGUGACUUCAGGAAAGUUACAUAACCCUUUAGUGUCCCAGAUAAUUGCCCAGACAAUAAGUGAUAUAUGUAGACAAUUCAACAACACAUUUCCUUGAAUUAAUGAAAUCACCAAUCUGUACCAAACAAAUGUUAUAGUGAGUGACAACUAGGGCUCCUCCUCUCAUUUCAGAGUCACUUAGGUCCUGGACCAAUUCAAAGGAGUAAUACAAUAUGAUGCUCAAGUACUCAGUAUAGUCCCAUGCACAGAGGAAGCACUGAAUAAAUGCUUGCUGAUUGAUUCCUCUCUUCCUGUUGGCAUUUGGGCCUGUCCUCCUGACUCUUUAUUCUUUAGUCUUCACAACUUCUUGUUCCUUAAGUUUGUUCUUUGUGUCCUGUAGUGGUAAGAGCCCAACUACCCAAUGUGUCUUCCUGUCUGAUUGUCCCCUGUCCUUCCCAUAAUUUCCAGUAUCCUGCUUGCUUGGUUCCUAGAUACUGAAUUCACUCUUUCCAAGCUGCAAUGACUUAUUACUUAUUUAUCACUUAAUGGUUAUUGUAACCUUACUGUUGAUCCUGCCAGUUUUCCAAAUCCCAGCUAACUAUUCUGUGCCCUCUUGAUAUCUUGUUAUUUGUCCUUUGCUUUAGAAGAGUUCCAAUGACAUCACAGGGGAUGUCUUGACUUUUAAGUGAAUUAGAUAACUCAUCAGCCUCACUGUCUCUUCCAGAGUCAUCACAGUCCAAUGGCAAGACAAAAGUCAGGAUGACUAACAACAGCCAGAGAUGCAUUAAAUGACCUUGGCACCAUCAGUGUCUACCAUGCUCUAAGCACUCCACAGCACCUGCUCCAGCUGCCUCCAUGGCCAUUAGAACAAUUUGUUCUCAUUUGCCCAUUCUGUCAGAAUGGGCCUGAAGAGCAAGACGAAAAAACACAUGAGGAUAACCAUCUCCAGAGGUUUGAUCAAACCCUAAGACUCUGGGUCCUUUCUCCAACUGGUAAAUUCUUCCCCAAACUUCCAUUUUGACGAAGUUCCCAGAGCAGUCCCCUUCAUUCUCUGGAUUUUGCCAUUAUGCUUUAUCUGUGUUCUCCUUCUUCCCCUUUGGGUCCUUCUUUCAUUAACAAAGUCUUCCUAGAACUUCUGUCUUGAGGGCAAAGACAAACCAUCCAUCAUAACUCUGAGUAUGUAUUCCCCUUCCCCUUCUACUUUUCAGCUACUUUUUAAUAUGUUGUCUUCCUCCAUUAAAAUGCAAGCUCCUUAAGGAUGGGAAUAUGUUUUUACUUGUAUUUGUAAACCCCAACACUUAACAUGGUUUCAUAGUAAAGACUUAAUAAAAUGCUUGUUGAUGAUUAUAAGUCAAGGUAAGAGAAUAAUUGGAUUGGACAAUUUCUUUUUUAUAUCUUUGAGAGAUCACAAAUUAUAUUGAUAUAGGUAUGAGAGAGAACUUGGUGGAAGAGAAUUUUAAGAUGGCAUUUUUGCUUUACCAAAUCAAAUGUUUUUUCAUGCUCACGAUAUGAAAUGAGAUUUCCUAUUUUCUAUAUCUUUUGUCAAAUAGAGUAAUGCUAAAGAUGUAAGCAUUAUAGAAUAUUGCCUGCAAAAGCCUGCCUAUUCCCAACUAAAGUGUACAUUAAGGGUGUCCUCAAUCUGGGUGUAGAUGAGUCUUAUAAAGAUUUUGUAUGCACUGGAAAAUAGUCACAUUGAUUCUGCCAAUAGUUGUUGAUAACCUCUCAAUUGUCCUUUUGGUGUAUUAUUAAGCUCUUCCUUACACUUUGGGUAUUUCCUUUCCUUCAGAUGCUUUAUGAAUGAAUUUUUCAAUAGUCUCAAAGUUGUGUUGCUCCAGCAUGUAUCAGUUCAAUGCACAUUCAGGCUGAUCUGGAUGCUUUUCUCAUCUUCACUGUUUUUCAUAAAAGUUCUAUCUCUUCCAUCAGCAUAUCUGAAAAUGUGAUGUUCUAGUCCAAGAAUAGUAGCUAUAUUGUUCUUGAUAGGGAAAACUUUGUUAAAAUAUUCCUAGAUCUUUUCCAUUUCUGUUUCUUUUGCUGUUUUUCUUCUGUUUUCAUCCUUGAAUAUCCUCAGGAUCCUAGUUGACUCUUGCCAAGCAUUCUUUAAACUAGUUUUACUUUCUACUGUUUCUUUUCUGUUUUAUUAAGAAAUACUGCUUAUGUUUGUUUAUCAUCAUCUUGGAGACUUCAUAAGCAAAUCAGAAUAGAGAAAAUAUUACCUAGAUUUAUUGGAUAGAAGAAUUUAUGAAUAAACAAGUAUAGAAAACAUUAUAAGAUGUAAAAUAUAUAAUUUUGAAUACAUUAAAUUAAAAAAAAGGGUUUGUACAAAUAAAUUAAUGUAUCUGAGAUUAGAAGGAAAGCAAUAAAUUAGGGGAAAAUUUUAUAGACUUUCUCAGGUGGAAAAACUAUAUAUCUAAAAUAUAUAGUAAACUUUGUCAAAUUUAUAAUAAUAUACUCCAUUCCUCAAUUGAUAAAUGGACAAAAGAUAUGAACAGACAGUUUUUUAGAGGAAGAAAUCACAGCUAUAUGUAAAACUAUGUGAAAAAAUGCUCCAAAUCAUUAUGAAUUAGAGAAAUGCAAAUCAAAACAACUCUGCGAUAUGGUCUUAUACCUUUCAAAUUGACCAAAAUGAUAAAAGGUGAAAUGACAAAUAUUAGAGGAGAUGUGAAAAAAUGCGAACAUUAAUACGCUGUUGGUAGAAUUAUACACUGAUCCAACCCUUUUGGAGAGCAAUCUGGAAUUAUGCCUAAAAGGUUAUAAAACUGUGCAUACCUUUUGACCCAACAACAUACAUUUUAAGUUUAUUUCCUAAGGUAAUUGGGGAAAAGGAAAAGAACCUAUAUGUUCUAAAAUAUUUAUAGCAACCCUCUUUGUGGGGGCAAAGAAUUGGAAAUUGAGGGGCUGCCCAUAAAUUGGUGAAUGGUUAAAUAGAUUGUGGUUUGUGAUUAUGAUGGAAUUCAAGUGUUCUAUAAGAAAUAAAGAACAGGUUAUUGUUUAAAGAUAUGUAAAGACCUACAUGAAAUUAUGAAGUGUUAAAUAAUCAGAAACAAGAUAACAUUAUAUAUAUAGCAACAAAAUAUUGUUUGAAGAAUCACUCACAUAUGUCUACCCCAGAGAAAUAACUAAUAAGUAGAAAUCUUUUUUGUCAAAUGAUGUCUUUUCUAAAGGGGGAGGCAGUUAGGGAGGGAGUGGCCUGAUAUUUUAAUGUAACAAACAAACAAAUAAAUAAAUUUAAAAUAAUUUAAAAAACUAAUAAUGAACAAAUGGUCCUUUGUAUCAUCAUAGUAUAUAGGAUAUUUAUAUCCAUUUGUCAGAUCUCAGGAUAUAGCUUUGAUUAUUUUAAAUUAAAAUUAUGAGUUAAAAAUUUUUUAAAAACAAGUUGAAUUAGUUUAUAUUCUACACUAUUGCUUUUAGAGGAAUCCUCUAUCUACUUAAUAAAUAAAUCUUGACUUGUUUUCUAAGUUUUUAAAAAAUACUUGAUUUUCUUGUCAUAACAAUCCAUUUAUAUUGGUUAAGCUUCUGAAUAAAGUUAUUAUAAUCA